rnacentral:rRNA from 1 species
UACGAGCGGUGCAAGCGUUAUUCGGAAUUAUUGGGCGUAAAGGGCGCGUAGGCGGGUCAUUAAGUUUGUUGUUAAAUCCUCUGGCUUAACCAGAGACAAGCAAUAAAAACUGGUAACCUAGAGCGUGAGAGAGAGAAGUGGAAUUCCCGGAGUAGCGGUAAAAUGCGUAGAUCUCGGGAGGAACACCAAUGGCGAAGGCUGCUUCUUGGCUCAUUGCUGACGCUGAGGCGCGAAAGCGUGGGGAGCAAACAGG